rnacentral:rRNA from 1 species
AGAGUUUGAUCAUGGCUCAGAUUGAACGCUGGCGGCAUGCCUUACACAUGCAAGUCGAACGGCAGCACGGGAGCAAUCCUGGUGGCGAGUGGCGAACGGGUGAGUAAUACAUCGGAACGUGCCCAGUUGUGGGGGAUAGCCCGGCGAAAGCCGGAUUAAUACCGCAUACGACCUGUGGGUGAAAGCGGGGGAUCGCAAGACCUCGCGCAAUUGGAGCGGCCGAUGUCAGAUUAGGUAGUUGGUGGGGUAAAGGCCCACCAAGCCGACGAUCUGUAGCUGGUCUGAGAGGACGACCAGCCACACUGGGACUGAGACACGGCCCAGACUCCUACGGGAGGCAGCAGUGGGGAAUUUUGGACAAUGGGCGCAAGCCUGAUCCAGCCAUGCCGCGUGUGGGAAGAAGGCCUUCGGGUUGUAAACCACUUUUGUCAGGGAAGAAACGGCUUAGUCUAAUAUGCUGAGCUAAUGACGGUACCUGAAGAAUAAGCACCGGCUAACUACGUGCCAGCAGCCGCGGUAAUACGUAGGGUGCAAGCGUUAAUCGGAAUUACUGGGCGUAAAGCGUGCGCAGGCGGCUUUGCAAGACAGAUGUGAAAUCCCCGGGCUCAACCUGGGAACUGCAUUUGUGACUGCAUGGCUAGAGUGCGGCAGAGGGGGAUGGAAUUCCGCGUGUAGCAGUGAAAUGCGUAGAUAUGCGGAG